GAUGAACGCUGGCGGCGUGCCUAAUACAUGCAAGUCGAGCGAACGGACGAGAAGCUUGCUUCUCUGAUGUUAGCGGCGGACGGGUGAGUAACACGUGGAUAACCUACCUAUAAGACUGGGAUAACUUCGGGAAACCGGAGCUAAUACCGGAUAAUAUUUUGAACCGCAUGGUUCAAAAGUAAAAGACGGUCUUGCUGUCACUUAUAGAUGGAUCCGCGCUGCAUUAGCUAGUUGGUAAGGUAACGGCUUACCAAGGCAACGAUGCAUAGCCGACCUGAGAGGGUGAUCGGCCACACUGGAACUGAGACACGGUCCAGACUCCUACGGGAGGCAGCAGUAGGGAAUCUUCCGCAAUGGGCGAAAGCCUGACGGAGCAACGCCGCGUGAGUGAUGAAGGCCUUCGGAUCGUAAAACUCUGUUAUUAGGGAAGAACAUAUGUGUAAGUAACUGUGCACAUCUUGACGGUACCUAAUCAGAAAGCCACGGCUAACUACGU
rnacentral:rRNA from 1 species